UAUAAGAUGUGCACUUUCCUUUUUUUUCAAUUAAACAGGCACAGUUUGAUCCUAUUUCCACUUUUGAUGGAAUGCACAGAGAAUGUGUGACUUUACAUAUAGUUUGCCACUGUGAUGUCAGAGAACAUGCAACAGGAGAGCGUGACAACUGCCUUGUGACGUGAAGGACUCACGGCAUUUAAGCCAAGCCUACUGGCAAUCUCGAAGGCAACUGGAGGGACAAGUGAGCCAGCACGAAGGUCACAAAUGACAACAAGCUGGCUGGCUGCGGCGGCUUUUCCCUGGCUCUAAGCACGGCUUCUUUCAUUCACCUGGAGAGAAGGUAGGAGAGGACUGAGUUGGCCAGCAGAGGGCCAGACUCCAGGUUGGAGCCAGCACAAGAACAGCCUCUUGAAGUGAAGGAAAAGGGAAACUUGACUCCAGUUGGUCCAUGCCACAGCUGUGAAUAUGCUGAACAAGGCUAAACCAGAGAAAGCUCACAAUAAACUUGGGACAAAGGAGCUGCCACAAGCCAAGCCUGAGAGAAGCUGCCUCACUUGGGCCCAGGCUAGGCAGGAGUUGAGUGAAACAAAUAGCUUCUGGAAGGUGAACGUAAGUCCAAGAGUUGAAGCUGCUUUCUACCUGCCACUGACUAUAAGCCAAGAAUGCUUCGCCCAAUCAAGCUUGUGCCUCUUCCGGUGCCUGCCUCUCCUAGCUGCCUUCUCACAAGCCCUGGUCACCUUCAUUGCUGAGCCAAACAGAUGUCUACCCCAACCCAGAGUUCCUGAACUCGAGCACCAAACCCCAUCAGAGCAGCUAAUAGAACCCAUCCCUGAUGGGAUGGGUAACCAGGUAGGUGGACUGUGAGCCAGUCUCCCCCACGAGACUCUCACAUGGAAGAGAUGCAUGGGUGAGACACGGAGGCACAUGUGGGGAGCACUGGGCCCACCAGGACGAUGGGCCAAAGAGGGACUCAGUAUGCUGUAGGUCUCAGCCAAAAUGACCAGCUUCCCCUGGACUGGACAGCGCUGCCUCUAGUCUGAGCACCUGCACCUGUGACUGCAGCACCACAUCACCACCCCGACUCUUCACACAGUUCCCUGGGAAACGUACAGCAGGCCUCGGAGGAAUCCUUUAGAUCAGUCAGAAGGUGGCCACUAACCCAAUCAACCAAGGCAAAGCAAUAGAGGAAACCAGAGAACCCACCCCAAGGACUAUGUGUGCCAGGGGCUAGAGGGCUCCUAACUCAUGGUGCUUUAUGGAAACCACCUGACCGCUGAAGGUAAUCAAGUGAUCCACUGCUUUUCUGAGAAACUGGAGAAUAAGGCAGCUUUCAACAUUAAAAAUAUAUUCAUCUCAUUUAGAUAGCAUAAAAAAACUCAAACCAGAAUAGAUUUAGCAAAUUAUGGAAAAUCCGCACAACUAAAACUUCACAAUGUUGUUAAGAGAUAUCUGAGGACUAAAUAAAUGAAAUACAGUGUGUUCAUGGAUUAGAAGACUUAAGAUUAAGGUGUCAAUUCUCCCCAAUUUUAUCC